rnacentral:rRNA from 1 species
AUUGAACGCUGGCGGCAGGCUUAACACAUGCAAGUCGAGCGGGGUGAUGGUGCUUGCACUAUCACUUAGCGGCGGACGGGUGAGUAAUGCUUAGGAAUCUGCCUAUUAGUGGGGGACAACAUCUCGAAAGGGAUGCUAAUACCGCAUACGUCCUACGGGAGAAAGCAGGGGAUCACUUGUGACCUUGCGCUAAUAGAUGAGCCUAAGUCGGAUUGGCUAGUUGGUGGGGGAAAGGCCUAGCAAGGCGACGAUCUGUAGCGGGUCUGAGAGGAUGAUCCGCCACACUGGGACUGAGACACGGCGCAGACUACUACGGGAGGCAGAAGUGGGGAAUAGUGGACAAUGGGGGGAACCCUGAUCCAGAUAUGCCGCAUGUGUGAAGAAGGCCUUAUGGUUGUAAAGCACGUUAAGCGAGGAGGAGGCUCUUUUGGUUAAUACCCAAGAUGAGUGGACGUUACUCGCAGAAUAAGCACCGGCUAACUCUGUGUCAGCCGCCGCAGUAA